GGAGAGAUACCUCAAUGGUAGAGGACAGGACUUACAAACCUGAUGUCCCAGUUUCAAUCCCUGGCACCA
rnacentral:tRNA from 1 species